UCACCCUGUAAAUCGCGAAUUUCAAACGCGCAAAAAGUUGAGUUGUAAUCAUUUAUUUAAAUCUUCUAUGACGUUAAAGUGGUGGGGAUUUUUUACCAUGUCUCACUGAGGCCAUGUGCUAAGCCAGUGGAAAAAGGUUAAGCUUUUUUAACUUUUCUUUUUCUCAUCGGGUAGGAGGAAAAAAAAUGAAUCUGCUUUUACUUUUUCUCUUUUCAGUUUGUCUUAGUUUGCUUUGACAAGUUGUGCUAGUGAACAUGAGGUUACUACUGCACUCUGCUUCCAGCUACCUAUCUUUCUCUCAAAAUCAUAUACAUAGCUAUCAAUUACCCAACUCAAUCCAAAAACUGUUAGCAUUAACUCCUACCAUGCAUAAAGCCUAUAUACCAUAAUCUCAACUAGGAAUCAAAGAUGAAAUUAAUGCUAGCUAGCUUACAAUGAAUUGUUUUUAAAUUCAUGAGUUCCACAAACUAUGGAAAUAAUUACAAUUAAUGGUUGCUUUUUUUGAAGAACUAAACUACAAACAUAGACCACUAGCAAUGGCUUUAUUUGUUUCCAAAUUGGUAGUUUCAUAGACAGGAAGCUCUUCUUGGUACCUUGCAGCUCCAAUAAGAUGAUCCAGCUCAAACAAAUCUGAACUUGAACAACUCACAUCAUCAUCAUCAUCAUUUUCAUCAUUCUCAUUCUCACCAUUACCAUAAAAACCUAUAAAAUCAAAUUCACCCUUACCAGAAUUUCGGUAACCUUUUACAAAACCCCUAGCUGCUGCUUCUUCGGUUGCAUUUUCUUUUCCCCGAACAGUGUUCUUCUUCAGCUCCUUUAUGGAAGAACUUCUAGUAAUCUUUCUCACAGUGAGAUUAGAUUCACUCUCAUAAAUGUUGUUACAUUUCUUAUUAUGACUAUGACUAUUAGAUUGCGGUUCAGAAUCCUCACCUAGGAUUACGCUAACGGGGUAAAACCUCACGGAUCUUUUGACUCCAUUGUUGUUGGGUUUUUUAGCCGAAGAGGGUGUUUUGCUCAUGCAAGACCUUCUAGAAAACGAAGAAGGCGUGGAAGAGAAACAAGGGGACUUUGAUUUGUGCUCGAAGCUAACAUCUUCAACGGCUCCAACGUAACAC
rnacentral:lncRNA from 1 species